CGGGGCGUGGCGCAGCCUGGUAGCGCGCUUGUUUUGGGUACAAGAGGCCCCCGGUUCGAAUCCGGGCGCCCCGACCA
rnacentral:tRNA from 11 species